rnacentral:rRNA from 1 species
GUGCUCGAGCGGCGAACGGGUGAGUAACACGUGAGUAACCUGCCCCCGGCUUCGGGAUAGCCCCGGGAAACCGGGAUUAAUACCGGAUAUGACCAGGGAGGGCAUCCUUUCUGGUGGAAAGGUUCCCUUCUCGUGAGGGAGGGGUUCUGGCUGGGGAUGGGCUCGCGGCCUAUCAGCUUGUUGGUGGGGUGAUGGCCUACCAAGGCGACGACGGGUAGCCGGCCUGAGAGGGCGACCGGCCACACUGGGACUGAGACACGGCCCAGACUCCUACGGGAGGCAGCAGUGGGGAAUAUUGCACAAUGGGCGAAAGCCUGAUGCAGCGACGCCGCGUGAGGGAUGAAGGCCUUCGGGUUGUAAACCUCUUUCAGCUCUGACGAAGCUGCCUGGUUUUCUGGGUGGUGACGGUAGGGGUUGAAGAAGCGCCGGCCAACUACGUGCCAGCAGCCGCGGUAAGACGUAGGGCGCGAGCGUUGUCCGGAUUUAUUGGGCGUAAAGAG